UUCCUACGGGAGGCAGCAGUCGGGAAUAUUGCGCAAUGGAGGAAACUCUGACGCAGUGACGCCGCGUAUAGGAAGAAGGUUUUCGGAUUGUAAACUAUUGUCAUCAGGGAAGAUAAAAGACAGUACCUGAGGAGGAAGCUCCGGCUAACUAUGUGCCAGCAGCCGCGGUAAUACAUAGGGAGCAAGCGUUAUCCGGAUUUAUUGGGUGUAAAGGGUGCGUAGACGGGAAAGCAAGUUAGUUGUGAAAUCCCUCGGCUUAACUGAGGAACUGCAACUAAAACUGUUUUUCUUGAGUGUCGGAGAGG
rnacentral:rRNA from 1 species